AUAACGGUCCUAAGGUAGCGAAAUUCCUUGUCGGGUAAGUUCCGACCCGCACGAAUGGUGUAACGAUCUGGGCACUGUCUCAACUACCCGCCCGGCGAAAUUGUAGUACCGGUGAAGAUGCCGGUUACCUGCGACAAGACGGAAAGACCCCAUGGAGCUUUACUGUAGCUUGAUAUUGGGUUUCGGUAAUUUAUGUACAGGAUAUGUGGGAGACUGGGAAGUUAUGGCGCCAGCCAUAAUGGAGUCGAUGUUGGGAUACCACACUUAGAUUGCUGGAAUUCUAACCUGUGGCCAUGAAACUGGUCAGGGGACAUUGUCAGGUGGGCAGUUUGACUGGGGCGGUCGCCUCCGAAAGAGUAACGGAGGCGCUCAAAGGUUGGCUCAGCACGGACGGAAACCGUGCAUUAGAGUGUAAACGCGUAAGCCAGCCUAACUGCGAGGGUGACGGCCCGAGCAGUAACGAAAGUUGGAGUUAGUGAUCCGGCGGUAUGUGAAUGGAAAUGCCGUCGCUCAACGGAUAAAAGCUACCCUGGGGAUAACAGGCUGAUCUCCCCCAAGAGUCCACAUCGACGGGGAGGUUUGGCACCUCGAUGUCGGCUCAUCACAUCCUGGGGCUGUAUUCGGUCCCAAGGGUUCGGCUGUUCGCCGAUUAAAGUGGUACGCGAGCUGGGUUCAGAACGUCGCGAGACAGUUCGGUCCCUAUCUGUCGUGGGCGCAGGAUAUUUGAGGAGCUCUGUCCUUAGUACGAGAGGACCGGGAUGGACGUACCUCUGGUGCACCAGUUGUCACGCCAGUGGCACAGCUGGGCAGCUAUGUACGGAACGGAUAAACGCUGAAAGCAUCUAAGCGUGAAGCCGACUCCAAGAUUAGAUAUCCCAUCAGAAUAUGAGUAAGACCCCUUGUAGACUACGAGGUUGAUAGGCUGCGUGUGUAAGCAUGGUGACAUGUUCAGCUUGGCAGUACUAAUAGGUCGAGGGCUUGACCAC
rnacentral:rRNA from 1 species